rnacentral:rRNA from 1 species
AUUGAACGCUGGCGGCAGGCCUAACACAUGCAAGUCGAGCGGAUGAAGGGAGCUUGCUCCUGGAUUCAGCGGCGGACGGGUGAGUAAUGCCUAGGAAUCUGCCUGGUAGUGGGGGAUAACGUCCGGAAACGGGCGCUAAUACCGCAUACGUCCUGAGGGAGAAAGUGGGGGAUCUUCGGACCUCACGCUAUCAGAUGAGCCUAGGUCGGAUUAGCUAGUUGGUGGGGUAAAGGCCUACCAAGGCGACGAUCCGUAACUGGUCUGAGAGGAUGAUCAGUCACACUGGAACUGAGACACGGUCCAGACUCCGACGGGAGGCAGCAGUGGGGAAUAUUGGACAAUGGGCGAAAGCCUGAUCCAGCCAUGCCGCGUGUGUGAAGAAGGUCUUCGGAUUGUAAAGCACUUUAAGUUGGGAGGAAGGGCAGUAAGUUAAUCCCUUGCUGUUUUGACGUUACCAACAGAAUAAGCACCGGCUAACUUCGUG